GACGAACGCUGGCGGCGUGCUUAACACAUGCAAGUCGAACGGAAAGGCCCUGCUUUUGUGGGGUGCUCGAGUGGCGAACGGGUGAGUAACACGUGAGUAACCUGCCCUUGACUUUGGGAUAACUUCAGGAAACUGGGGCUAAUACCGGAUAGGAGCUCCUGCUGCAUGGUGGGGGUUGGAAAGUUUCGGCGGUUGGGGAUGGACUCGCGGCUUAUCAGCUUGUUGGUGGGGUAGUGGCUUACCAAGGCUUUGACGGGUAGCCGGCCUGAGAGGGUGACCGGCGACAUUGGGACUGAGAUACGGCCCAGACUCGUACGGGAGGCAGCAGUGGGGAAUAUUGCACAAUGGGCGGAAGCCCGAUGCAGCAACGCCGCGUGCGGGAUGACGGCCUUCGGGUUGUAAACCGCUUUCGCCUGUGACGAAGCGUGAGUGACGGUAAUGGGUAAAGAAGCACCGGCUAACUACGUG
rnacentral:rRNA from 1 species